rnacentral:lncRNA from 1 species
CGGGGCCGUGGGGCUGAGCCGUGGGGCGAGCCGUGGGGCCAGCCGUGGGGCCAGCAGCCGCUCCCCGCCGGCCUCCAGCGGCAGCCGGAGCGCGAUGUGCCGCUGAGCCCCGCAGCCGGAGCCCCGCCGACACCCCGACGUCAGAAUCCCUGUGUGGUCUCUCUCUUACAAAAACACCAAGCUCAGAGCCGUGCUGAAGGAAGGAGGCCUGCCGGAGGUUUCUGCCAGCGAGGAGCACGUUGUCAUCCCUCCAGCUUGGAGCAGCGAAACACGGGCGUCCACCUUCCUCAGAGCUGGCCACGGGCAGACCUGCAGGUGCUCCUUCACGAGAUAAAUCAUCUGCAAACGAGUUUAUGAGAAAAAUAGAAGGAAGAAGGCCAAAGAGGCAUGCCAGAGAAGGAAGCUUGCAGAGUCCAAGGGGUUCAGAGAAGACUGCAGUGGGACUGCCUCUGAGAGGGAGCGUUUACAUCACUAAUUCUUGAAGGGCUUACCUUCUGGGACUCUGAGCUUGGAUUGCUGCCGCAACAUUUGUCUGGGACUUGGCCUCUGGGCUGGUGAGUUAGUGAUGGAGUGAUACAUGUCUUGUGUGCUGAAACAUGAUGUUUUCAGGUUGCUCACUGUGAGGAGUUUUGGUCUCUGAUCAUUCUGUUUCUCCUGCUCCAGUGAGGACAGGAUGUGUCAUGCAGCAAAGAAGGCAAAGGAUCACAAACAUUAGAUAAAGGGUUUUCCAAAUGGCUCGCGGCUCUCUUAACACUGUCAUCAUUGGACUCAAUGGGACUUUCUCCCC